rnacentral:rRNA from 1 species
CAACUUUCAACAACGGAUCUCUUGGCUCUCACAUCGAUGAAGAACGCAGCGAAAUGCGAUAAGUAAUGUGAAUUGCAGAAUUCAGUGAAUCAUCGAAUCUUUGAACGCAAAUUGCGCCCUUUGGUAUUCCGAAGGGCAUGCCUGUUUGAGUGUCAU